rnacentral:lncRNA from 1 species
GUUGGGUCAUCCAUGUAUAAAUGAUAUGAUGCAGGAGAUGGUGAUUAAGUUGGGGGAAAGAGGGUGAAGCGGCCCUUGGAGACAACUAACACAGCCUGCCUGCCCCGACCAGGCACAGCUACAGCCAAGUCAGAGGCCCUGGGGCUGACUGGGACCCAGAAGAGAAAUGAGAGCUGGAGAAGAGGAACAGACAAGCCUCUCCAACACAGCACGGACUCUAGCUAGGCUGGCUCUGAGACUUCUAGUGACCUUGAGACCUCAUAACUUCAGAAAUCCUUUAUCCUCCAGCCUAUCAACAAUCAAGAGUCAGACAACAGUGUAUCAUGGAAUGGACAGUGGUUUGGGGCAAUCACCUAUCACCGAACCUGAGGCAAUGUUCCCUGUAAAAGACAAAAGACACAUCUACCUGCCUUCAGCCUCCAUCAGCAUUUUCCAGUUUUUGAUCAGGAGUCAGUCCUUUUGCAUGCAGCCUCCACACAGGUGGCUCAUGCUGAGGAGCCUUUGUACUGAGACCUUCAUUAAUAAGCAUACGCAAUAACUGCUCUGACACGACUUGUGAGUAUUUCAUCAUUUUGUUUAAAUAAAGUGUUUG